rnacentral:rRNA from 1 species
CCUACGGGAGGCAGCAGUAGGGAAUCUUUCACAAUGGGCGAAAGCCUGAUGGAGCAACGCCGCGUGCAGGAUGAAGGCCUUCGGGUUGUAAACUGCUUUUAUAAGCGAGAAAUAUGAUGGUAACUUAUGAAUAAGGAUCGGCUAACUACGUGCCAGCAGCCGCGGUCAUACGUAGGAUCCGAGCAUUAUCCGGAGUGACUGGGUGUAAAGAGUGGCGUAUGUGGCAUAAAAAGUUGCGAGUGAAAGCUGGUGGCUCAACCAUUCAGACUAUUAGCUAAACUGUUAAGCUCGAGACCGUUAGGGGUAACUGGAAUUUCUAGUGUAGGAGUGAAAUCCGUAGAUAUUAGAAGGAACACCAAUAGCGUAGGCAGGUUGCUGGGACGGUUCUGACACUAAGGCACGAAAGCGUAGGGAGCAAACGGGAUUAGAUACCCUUGUAGUC